UUGGAGGGCAAGUCUGGUGCCAGCAGCCGCGGUAAUUCCAGCUCCAAUAGCGUAUAUUAAAGUUGUUGCAGUUAAAAAGCUCGUAGUUGAAUUUCGGGAUCAAUAUGUUGGUCGUGCCUUGGUACGUACUGGCGUCAUUGGUUUCUACCUUCUGAAGAACCUCGAUGUCAUUAAUUUGGUGUCUUGGGGAAUCAGGACUGUUACUUUGAAAAAAUUAGAGUGUUUAAAGCAGGCUCACGCUUGAAUACAUUAGCAUGGAAUAAUGAAAUAGGACGUUUGAUUCUAUUUUGUUGGUUUCUAGGAUCGACGUAAUGAUUAAUAGGGAUAGUUGGGGGCAUUAGUAUUCAAUUGUCAGAGGUGAAAUUCUUGGAUUUAUUGAAGACUAACUACUGCGAAAGCAUUUGCCAAGGAUGUUUUCAUUAAUCAAGAACGAAAGUUAGGGGAUCGAAGACGAUCAGAUACCGUCGUAGUCUUAACCAUAAACUAUGCCGACUAGGGAUCGGAUGAUGUUAAUUUUUUAAUGACUCAUUCGGCACCUUACGGGAAAC
rnacentral:rRNA from 1 species